rnacentral:rRNA from 1 species
GAGAAUCUUCCGCAAUGCACGAAAGUGUGACGGAGCGACGCCGCGUGGUGGAUGAAGCCCUUAGGGGCGUAAACACCUUUUAUGAAGGAGGAAUUUUAUUGACGUUACUUCAUGAAUAAGGGGCUCCCAACUCUGUGCCAGCAGGAGCGGUAAUACAGAGGCCCCAAGCAUUAUCCGGAUUCACUGGGCGUAAAGGGUUCGUAGGCGGUGUUAUUAGUCGGGUGUUAAAUCCUGGGGCUCAACCUCAGAAUCGCAUUCGAAACGGUAACACUAGAAGUAGUCAGAGGUUAGCAGAACUCUCGGUGUAGGGGUGAAAUCCGUUGAUAUCGAGGGGAAUACCAAAUGCGAAG